rnacentral:tRNA from 1 species
GGAAUAGCUCAGUCGGUAGAGCACUGGUCUCCAAAACCAGGUGUCGGGAGUUCGAGUCUCUCUUCC